CAGUAGCCGCGGGAAUACGUAGGUGGCGAGCGUUGUCCGGAAUUAUUGGGCGUAAAGGGAGCGCAGGCGGACAUAUAAGUCCAUCUUAAAAGUGCGGGGCUCAACCCCGUGAUGGGAUGGAAACUGCCAAUCUAGAGUAUCGGAGAGGAAAGUGGAAUUCCUAGUGUAGCGGCGAAAUGCGUAGAUAUUAGGAAGAACACCAACGGCGAAAGCACUCUGCUGGGCCGACACUGACACUGAGAGACGAAAGCUAGGGGAGCAAAUGGGAUUAGAUACCCGUGUAGUCCCUGUCUCUUAUACA
rnacentral:rRNA from 1 species